rnacentral:lncRNA from 1 species
GGCAGACCCGAAAUCCGAUUGCAGCGCCGGGGGUGCCGCCGGGCUCGCCGGCGCCCGGUUAUUCAUUCUCCCGGAGGGAGACCUUUGGACCAUGCAAAGCAUGGGGAGAGUCCGGGCUGGCAUCCUGCCCUCUGGCAGCCCGCUUGGCAGGGCUUGGGCUCGGGGAUUUUUGGGGUGGCAGGAUGCGAGCGGGGGGUUCUGCCUAGGAAGGAUCCACGCUGCGGUGCCAUCUCCUUGUGACGGGGUCCCUAGUGUCCUCCCAGCAGCGUGGGUACUGCUCACUGAGACCUCCUCCCGCGUGUCCCCAGAGCAUCUCCACCUCUAUCCCCACGCUGACCCCACACCGGUGCCGCCGGAGCAGCGUGGAGGAACCGCCGGCGCGCCGGCUCCCAGCUUCCUCCCAAUUAAACCGAUUUCUCGGAUGGCUCCAGCCAUGCAGCAGCUUUGUAGCUGCCACCGCCGGGGUCUCCCUGCCCUCCCCGUCCACCUGCUCACUUGUGUAAUGCGUGGCCCCCAGCCCCGCGGCGGGGACGUGGCCCGGCAGGGGACCGUCCCGCCCGGCCGGCCGAGAACAAGGCAGCGCCGUGCUGGGAUGCGAGCAGCGGGCGCCUCUGAAGCUGCCGCCCCGGGGCCGGACGGUGCCAGCCCGCUGUGCCCAGGAGCCGUGGCGGCGAGCGAAGUGGCACAUCAAAGCCCUCCAAGCUCAGCUCCCUGCGGCCCCCAUCCAGGCACAUGGGGAGGAUUUGGCCGGGGAGAGCGGCAGGUCUGGGGAUGGGGCUCGGGGAUGUGCCGGCAUCCUCCUGCUCCAAGCAUCCUGGCUGCAGGCUGGGUGCCCCUUGCUCCUCCGAGCCGUGUGCCAUCAGCAGAUGACAGGGCAAGGCUCACUGCUGCGGGGACACGAGGAACAGCAGCUGUGCUGGCUGCGCUGCUCACCCCAGGGCACAGGAGCUGUACUCUGCUACCCCCCGGGUGGAUGGACAGCGUGGCUGCAUGGACCUGCACUAACGGGAGGAGGUGCCGAGAUCCCAGUGCAGCAAAACCCCCUGCUCAGCAUCCUCCAGGCAGUCCCGUGCCAAAGGCACCAGAGAUGCAAGGGACGUGAAGCAAGGGUGCAGAUCAGGCAGUGUUUUGGGGAGUUCAGCAGCAGCACUGGACACGGGGUAGAAAGUUGUCUCUGAUGCUGAUAUCACAGGAUGGAAGAAGGAGGGGUCAGGAUGCAUGAACAGCCUGGAUGGCAAAACACCAAGCCACCAGCUCUGGAAGAUGAGGUAAUUAUUGUUAUUGUUGUUAGUGCAAUCACAAUAACAGCCACUGCUUGUUGCAACUGCAUCGCGGCUGGCAUCGCCACCAUCAAGCAGAGCCAGCACCGUGGAGCCGUGCCAGUGACACCUUGCUUCUGUGUCCCCAGCACCCUCCUGAUGG